UACGACCUUUGAUCGACCUGACCUUUGAUCAACCUAAUGUAAAAAGAGCCUUUGAUCAAUUUUUAGACAACACGGCCUUUGAUCGGUUUGAUCUUUGAUCGGCCUAAUACAGAAGGAGUCUUUGAUCGACUUUUAGACAAUACGGCCUUUAAUCGGCUCAAUCUUUGAUCGGUCUAAUGUAGGAGCCUUUGAUAGGCUUUUAGACAACAUGAUCUUUGAUCGGUCUGGCC
rnacentral:lncRNA from 1 species